rnacentral:rRNA from 1 species
CGUGUAGCCGGGCCGACAAGUCAGAUGUGAAAUCCACGGGCUUAACCCGUGAACUGCAUUUGAAACUGUUGGUCUUGAGUAUCGGAGAGGUAACCGGAAUUCCUAGUGUAGCGGUGAAAUGCGUAGAUAUUAGGAAGAACACCAGUGGCGAAGGCGGGUUACUGGACGACAACUGACGGUGAGGCGCGAAAGCGUGGGGAGCAAAACG